AUAGGCUGCUUGGGUUUGCAGAUGAGUGUUUGCUGGUUAAGGGGAUGGUGGCACCUGAAUGUGGGGCAGAGGUGUUCCCAAUGAUCUCUGCUGCUUGUCUGGAGCCUUUCUUUUGGUCCCUGUGACCUCCUGGCAAUGUCGCCUUAGGCAGUGAUGCUGAGCCCAUGAUCCCAUGAUGAUGCUCUCGCCUUCACCACGGGCCAGGUGACCUCAUCAACACUGCUGUCCCAAGGACAGACUGCCAGAAGAUGCUGCAGGCACUGGAGGAUGCAUCCCUAGAGGAGCAGGAGCCCUCCAGGUCCAUGCUCAGGGCUCCAGGUUGGCACCCCAUGGUGGGGCCAGGAGGCCCUGGUGCUGUAAAGAUGUAUAGCUUUUCACCUGGCUCCUGUGUAAUUAGCAGCUGCCCAUUGCUGGGAAGGACUGGGCUCAUCCUUCCCUGCCCUGGAGAGCGGUACCUGCUUACCCUCGUGGCAGCUCUGCUGUUUGUCUAGGGGCAAGGAGAGUCAGUCUGGCUCAGCAGCCAAGAGCUGCUUCAUUGGUAUGUCCUGAUUAUCGUUCUUCUGCCACGAUAGCAAAUAAAAUAGUGAACAAAUGAGC
rnacentral:lncRNA from 7 species